rnacentral:tRNA from 1 species
GGUGAGAUGACCGAGUGGUUAAGGUGGUAGACUCAAGCUUGUCUUGCGCUGCACAGCAGUGUCGUAUUCUACUGGAGCAAUCCGCAGGGGUUCGAAUCCCCUUCUCAUCA